AGGGCUUGACAUGGGGAGGCUGUGUCCAGAGAUGGCA
rnacentral:rRNA from 1 species